rnacentral:misc_RNA from 1 species
CUCUCUUUCAUCAUUUCAACUUCUACAAAAAUGUGCACCCAAAAAAAAAAUACUAAAUGUAGAAAUGAUUAAAAUGGAUAAUCCUCAAAUGACACAAAAUUAUAUGCAAUUUGCAGUAUACUUUAUAAAUUCCUAAUAUUGCUGACAAGAAGCUUAAAGAAGAUGGACACUCAAAGGUAAUUUAAAAUUAAAAAAAAAAUUUGUCUAAAAAUUUGAUAAAUUAAAGGUUAAGCUCUCCUAUUUCCCCAAUACUUGGAAGAAACAAAAUCAUAAAACCUCAAUAUCCAUAAUUUACUUUUAUUAGCAACCCAACAAAUCAAAUCCAUAAAAUUGACAGCCUAAAAAACAAAAAGCACAAAAAACUGCAUCCAAAAUUGACCUUAAACCUCACUCAAUCCACCAAAAAUCACUCAGACGAACAGCACUAAAAGUGAAAUAACUAACAAAAAAAAAAAA